rnacentral:rRNA from 1 species
UACGAAGGUCCCAAGCGUUGUUCGGAAUCACUGGGCGUAAAGGGAGCGUAGGCGGCGUGGUAAGUCAGAUGUGAAAUCCCGGGGCUCAACCCCGGAACUGCAUCCGAUACUGCCAUGCUAGAGGAUUGGAGAGGUAGCUGGAAUUCUUGGCGUAGCAGUGAAAUGCGUAGAGAUCAAGAGGAACACUCGUGGCGAAAGCGAGCUACUGGACAAUUCCUGACGCUGAGGCUCGAAGGCUAGGGUAGCGAAAGGG